rnacentral:misc_RNA from 1 species
GUCGCUUGCAGCCGAGAGAGUUUCCUCCUGUGAAGUGCUGCAUUCCGACGGCUCUGUAAGGUUUCUAUCGCUUUCUUUUUCUCUUCUGAGUUUCAAUCACUUUCAUUGGCUUUCGCUUUGUUUGUUUACUGAGAAAAUGGCCUUAUGAAAGGAAACCGAAAAGAAAUGAUAUCAGAAGUUGCUUGGAAUCUGGUAUUGGCAGCUAUGGAGUCGAUGAAUUUAAUUAAAUUUGAUUAGGUGUGAGAUAUGUAGUUUAAUGGUUUUGCAGUGGAUUAUCAUGAUUGAUGCUAAUGGAUCAUUUGUUGCUUAAUACUGAAAAAAUAAAAAAUAGGUUUUUUCAAUUUUAAUAUUUUCUUAGUUAUUCAAUUGCUUACUGGAUACAACCAACAAGAAGAUGGUUACAUGAAAAUGUGCCUGUGGAUUCAAAUGACCUUGUGAUGCAAUUUUAAUGUGUGCAGGGCAUGACGGCCAAUAUUUCUGCCCAUUUCUAUUCUAUGCACUUAAUUCUAUUAUCUGUUAUGGUCUAUGACAUUCCUUGGCAUUUUUUGGAGUGAGAUUUGUGUUUACUCAUUUAAUGUUUUUUUAGGUAAGUCAUGGUGAAGCAUAAUAAUGUUGUGCCUAAUGGGCACUUUAAAAAACACUGGCAAAACUAUGUGAAGACAUGGUUUAACCAACCUGCUCGAAAAACAAGGAGACGUAUAGGUAAGGGGCUUUUUUUAUAGGGUUAGCUGAAUCAUCGUUAAUAUCUUACAUGUUCAUUGCAAAAAAAUGUCAGUUGUAGACUAUAUUCAAACUUGGCGCCAUUUACUUACUCAUGUUAUGCAUGUAAUGUGUAACUGUUAUCAGCUCGCCAAAAGAAGGCUGUGAAGAUCUUUCCUAGGCCUACAGCUGGACCUCUUCGUCCCAUUGUUCAUGGACAGACUUUGAAGUAUAAUAUGAAAUUGAGGGCUGGAAGAGGGUUUUCUCUUGAAGAACUCAAGGUCUGCUGGUUGUCUUUAUCAACAUAUGUUAAUCAUUUAGAUUUACCUCAUGUUUUAAUCAUCUGCUUUUAUCUCUAACAUGCCUUGUGUGUUUGUAUGAUGCCAUUUCAUAAUUGUUCUUAUUUUAUGAUAUGUGCUUUUGAAGGCACUUGUUGUGACCUAUUUUUCUGCUUCUUGUCCACCACAUCUGAGCUAUGCAUUUUCAUGUUUCUCACUUUUCAUUCUUUUUAACAUUGCAAGGUCUUUACAGUUUAGCUGGCAUUCAUGAUAUAAUGAAUAUAAACAUUUGUUUCCACUAGGCAGAACCAUAUAAAUGGCUAUCAGUAAUCUCUUAUUAUUAAGGGCACUUCUGAAGUGGACAUGUAAAUGCGGAUUCUUUUUGGAAUUUUACUUAUUAAUUUUAUUAUGUAAAAGUGGAUAUAAAUUUAAAUGCUAUUUUCUUUACCUUGUAAAUUGUUAUAUCUAGCUCUACUACAUCUUUUCAUAUUAUAUACUUUUUACUUACUAGGAUUUAACAUCCUUUGAAUCUUUCCAUACCAGGCUGCAGGUAUUCCCAAGAAACUUGCUCCUACAAUUGGAAUAGCUGUUGAUCAUCGCAGAAAGAACCGUUCUUUGGAGGCCCUACAGGCCAAUGUUCAGAGGCUGAAGACCUACAAGGCCAAAUUGGUUGUCUUCCCAAGACGUGCCUGCAAAUUCAAGGCUGGUGAUUCUGCUCCUGAGGAGCUGGCAACAGCAACCCAAGUACAAGGGCAGUUAAUGCCAAUCGUCCGUGAAAAGCCAUCUGUGGAGCUUGUUAAGGUCACUGAAGAGAUGAAGACAUUCAAGGCAUAUGACAAGCUGCGUGUGGAACGAAUGAACAAGCGUCAUGCUGGAGCCAGAUUGAAGAAGGCUGCAGAGGCUGAGAAAGAAGAAAAGAAGUAGGAACAAUAACAAUACCUUGUCAGCUAGCAUACGAUGUUGUUGGUCUCUACUUUUUUUUCAAUAUCUGCAUGAUUCUGUUUAAUGGAAUUUUCUCAAAUACAUUAGUCUUCUUUAGCCUUCGGAAUUUUGGUUUAAGUUUCUAUGAUAUGCAGUAUGGUUGGACUCUAUUCAUUUUAGUUUUUGGAUCCUGUGUCGAGUUGAGUAGAAUUUGACAUAGUUUAAUCUCUAUGAUAAGCAUUGGUAAACAGAAUCUGUGUUCUAGUACACCAAGCCUAUAACGAAGGCAUGAGGGAUUCAAUCAAUGAUAAAUUACAAUGCUUCGUUGCAGUUUAAUUAAUUCACUUCGGUUAUUGUAUUAAAUAAGCUGUAGUUUGUAUUUGUGGGUUAUAUAUGCAUAAUG